AUGAGCACGAUACUCAUCGCCAUGUAUUUUCUUCUGAUGUUCUCGGCAGCUGCUCCGCGAGUCGAUGGAACCGCCGGAGGGAUCUUGCAGAUCCCUUCAAGUGACUCCUUGGCUAAGUGCAUCUCAAGGUGCGGGGACAUCGACAUCUUCUAUCCCUUUGGUAUUGGGUCCGGUUGCUUCCGUUUAGGCUUCGACCUCACCUGCAACAGCUCCACCAAGCAUCCAAAGCUCUUUUUAGGCAGCAGCACUGCCCAGGUCACAUACAUGUACUCCAGCGGAGGUCUGGGGACCCCUAUAUUCUUCAACCUUACAACGAGGCCAGGUACAAAUACCUACAACAUGUCUUGGGAGGCCCCUGUUAAAGGUAUUACUAUCGCUAGUGAUAAUAUUUUGUACGUAGCUGGUUGUGAUUUUGACGUCACCUUGUUCGAGUAUGGUACGGGAGACAUGGUUGGUUCUUGUAUGAGUAGAUGUGCGGGCAAGAAGGCACCAACUGGAGUUUCUUGUAAUGGAAUAGGCUGCUGCCUCAUCCAAUUACCAAGGGACCUGCCAGGCUUUCGUGCAGAACUUGUCAGCACUAAUACUACUGCAACACAAUCUGAUUGGUUCCACCCUGGCAUCAUGGCUUUCGUGUCUAUGAUUUAUUACAAUACAACCGCUAUUUUCUCGAGUUGGACAGAUCCAAGCAAUAUUUUUGACGCGAUGCUUAGUGUUACCAUCGUGGACCAACCAAGCUGUCAAAGUGCACAAAUGAACAAGGCAAGCUAUGCCUGUAGCAUCGGUAGCAGUUGCCAGAAUUCCUCAUCUGGUGGUUACAACUGUGACUGCUCUUCUUAUCGACAAGGCAACCCUUACAUUUUAGAUGGAUGCAUGCAAGAUUAUAACCCCAAGCCCAAAAAACACUGUCCUGCAUCAUGUCGACGCAUUACUGUUCCCUUCCCCUUUGGUCUUGAAGAAGGGUGCUAUGCAAAUGAAAGAUUUCGUCUUAAUUGUACAUCUGGUGAUCUCAUAUUUUCUCUCUCAAUUGCACAAUAUCUUGUGACUGAUAUAUCCGUGGAAGAUGGGACUUUGUUUGUUAGCAACAUGGUGAAGGGAAGUAAAGCUCAAGAGGUAGUAAUUAUCCAGACUGACAGUGCUGGACAUGGAUGGGACUCGGGCCCCCCUAUGGAAGAUCAAUUUGAUUUCUCUAUGGAGUACAACAUUGUUAUGAAGUGGGCGGUUGCCAAUUUAAUUUGUCAAGCAGCUAAGAAAAAUGAUACUACUUAUGCAUGCCGCAGUUCCCACAGCUAUUGCCUAAACGUUACCCAUGGGGAAAUAUUUAUGGGAUACCGUUGCAAGUGCUCUUUAGGCUUUCAAGGAAAUCCGUACAUCAAAGAUGGCUGCAUAGAUAUCGAUGAAUGUGCACUAUCAAGCAACUGCAAUGGGAGAUGUCAAAAUUUUCUUGGAGGCUACACAUGCACGAGUUGCCCUCAUAGAAAAGAGUUUGAUCCAAUAAAGCAGAAGUGUGUUACAUCAGCCAAGCAACACAAUCUUCUUUUGGGUAUCGCAAUUGGAACUGGAUGUGGCCUUGGCUCUAUAAUUAUUGCAUUCUGUCUAAUUCUAUUCACCAAUAAGUGGAAGAAAGGCAUCAAGAAGAGAAUCCGACUAGCACACUUCAAGAAAAAUCAAGGCCUACUCUUGGAGCAGCUGAUCUCAGAUGAAAGCGCCACAAACAAAACAAAGAUAUUCUCCUUGGAGGAGCUAGAGAAGGCAACCAACAACUUCGAUGUCGCUCGUGUUCUUGGUCGUGGAGGGCAUGGUACAGUUUAUAAAGGGAUUCUAUCUGACCAACGGGUGGUAGCUAUUAAAAAAUCCAAAAUUGUGGAGCAAACUGAGAUAGACCAGUUUAUCAAUGAGGUUGCUAUCUUGUCUCAAAUCAUUCAUCGAAAUGUGGUAAAGCUCUUCGGUUGUUGCCUUGAAUCUGAAGUGCCUUUGCUUGUGUACGAGUUCAUAUCUAAUGGCACACUGCAUGACCUACUUCACAUUGACGUUGGUGUUAAAUGCUUGCUGUCUUGGGAUGAUCGCAUUAGGAUUGCAGUAGAAGCAGCAGGAGCACUUGCUUAUCUGCACUCGGCUGCUGCAAUACCAAUUUUCCAUAGAGACGUGAAAUCUUCUAAUAUUCUAUUGAACAGCAGCUUCGCCACAAAGGUUUCUGACUUUGGUGCUUCAAGGUCUCUUUCACUCGAUGAGACACAUGUGGUGACUAUUGUCCAAGGAACAUUUGGUUACCUAGAUCCAGAGUAUUACCAUACUGGGCAGUUAACGGAAAAGAGUGAUGUGUAUAGUUUUGGAGUAAUACUUGUGGAACUUUUGACAAGAAAAAAGCCAAUUUUUAUCAAUGAUCUAGGUGCAAAACAGAACUUGGCCCAUUAUUUCGUGGAAGGAUUGCAAGAGGGAGCUAUCAUGGAAUUAAUGGAUCCUCAGGUUGUCAAAGAGGCAGAUCCGGAAGACAUUGAUGAUAUUUCGUCACUUACAGAAGCAUGCUUGAGACUGAAAGGAAAAGACAGACCUACUAUGAAAGAAGUAGAUAUGAGGUUGCAAUUCCUGCGAACUAAGAGGCUAAGAAAAUGCAAUAUUCUCCCAGAGGUUAGUAACUCUGAUGCACAGAUGCUGCCCAGUUGCUACAGUCUAGAACAAGAACUUUCAUCCUCACUCACUUUGCCACGUUAA
rnacentral:rRNA from 1 species